ACAUGUUGCUGUUUUUUUUAUCUUUAUUGCAGGAAGUGGAGAUGUGAUUGCCCGCUCAUCACAACCUUUAUUUGGUUUGAUGAUGAACAUGAGGAGCAAAGGAACAAUGAUUGUAGAGGAAUGGGAUUAGUAUUUAGCCAUGUUUUGGUAAGUUGUACUGCCGAGUGAAAAAGACACACCUGAGGCUAACUCCGACCACAUCCUGUAGAUUUUGUAGAAUGGAAGAAAAGUUCAAUCCUUUUUGUAGAGUUUUAGGUCUUCAUUAUUAUUUUUGUUCAGUCUUGAUAAAGCUGUGGAGCUAAAUUAUCAGUGGAUUGCAUUUGAUGAUGUUUGUUACCAUGUUCAGGUGACAGUGAAGAAUCCAAACCUCUUGUUGCUUGUGGUUUCGUUACCAAAUCCACCACCUGAAGCAAUGUCCUUUGAUGGACUUCCAUUAGGAGCUAUAGAAGCCAUUAAAGCUACUUACAGGACUG